ACUUUCUUAGUAUAAUUAAUACUUAUGACUUCCAAUCACUCAAUCCUGUUUCCUACGGGGGAAAGUA
rnacentral:tRNA from 1 species